UCAGAUGUUAAACGUGAAGGAUAACGUUGCUUCAGCAACGGCCCGAAGGGCGAGGCGAAGCCGAGUCAUCCUGCACGACCUACCA
rnacentral:sRNA from 1 species